rnacentral:rRNA from 1 species
CAUUAAUGAAUUUAGAAGGAUUGAUGCUGGCCUUUGUGCAUGUGCUCGGUUUCUCUCCUAAUCCAUUCACACCUGUGCACUUGUUUUCAGAGUUAGGGAGAAAUCCCUACUCUGCUAAUCACAUACUCUUUUGAUUUACUUUGAAUGUUCAUCAAGUCGAAAGACUUUUAAAUAUAAAUACAACUUUUAACAACGGAUCUCUUGGCUCUCGCAUCGAUGAAGAACGCAGCGAAAUGCGAUAAGUAAUGUGAAUUGCAGAAUUCAGUGAAUCAUCGAAUCUUUGAACGCACCUUGCGCUCCUUGGUAUUCCGAGGAGCACGCCUGUUCGAGUGUCAUGAAGCUCUCAAGCGAUAAUAACUUUAUUGUUGUUAUUUAGCUUGGAUUUGGGUCUUGCUGUGUUACAACGGCUGAUCCUAAAUGCAUUAGCCGGCUCUAAUGGAAGACUUGGUUCUUACUCGGUGUGAUAAUUAUCUUACGCUGAGGACAUUCCUGUAAAAGGGGAUGGCCAGGACUAUCAUUAGGCUGCUUCUAAUCGUCUCUUCUGACAAAAUAAUAUUCUAAUCUGACCUCGAAUCAGGUGGGACUACCC